CCCUCGAUAGCUCAGUUGGAAGAGCGUGAGACUGUAAUGGUUACACCUAGUCAUCUCAAGGUCAUUGGUUCGAUCCCGAUUCGAGGGA
rfam:Trametes versicolor FP-101664 SS1 unplaced genomic scaffold TRAVEscaffold_7, whole genome shotgun sequence.